rnacentral:tRNA from 2 species
UCCUGGUUAGCUCAGUUGGUGGUGCGCUCCACUGGAAAUGGAGGGGUUCCUUGUUCGAUUCCAGGACCAGGCG